CUGGGUGUAGCGCAGUUUGGCCAGCGCACUAGCAUGGGGUGUUAGGGGUCGGAGGUUCAAAUCCUCUCAUCCAGA
rnacentral:tRNA from 1 species